AGUCGCCACGGUAAUACGUAGGGUGCAAGCGUUAAUCGGAAUUACUGGGCGUAAAGCGUGCGCAGGCGGUUAUAUAAGUCAGAUGUGAAAUCCCGGGCUCAACCUGGGAACUGCAUUUGAGACUGUAUGGCUAGAGUGUGUCAGAGGGGGGUAGAAUUCCACGUGUAGCAGUGAAAUGCGUAGAUAUGUGGAGGAAUACCGAUGGCGAAGGCAGCCCCCUGGGAUAACACUGACGCUCAUGCACGAAAGCGUGGGGAGCAAACAGGAUUAGAUACCCGAGUAGUCCCUGUCUCUUAUACAC
rnacentral:rRNA from 1 species